GAAGAAUGUCCGAGAGUUCGAUGCCUUUGUCGAAACCCUGCAGUAAAAGUGUCCUGAGUGUCUGCAGCACCCCCUUUCUAUGGACCUAGCAGAGAACCUCCUCUUCCUCAGCUGCUCCCCAGCCUUCUGCUGUUUCUGGCCAGGUGAAAGGCAGGGUGGUUCCCCUAUGGGACUUAGAAGUCCCCGCUCUUGGACUUCCUGGAGACUCAUGGCAGCAAUCAGGCCUAAUGCCGGACCUGGGGAGGACUCUGGCUGUGGAGCUGGAAGCUGGCUGCAACAGAGCCUCAAGCAAGGACUGUCCUCAGCUACUUCACAGAGGGACAGAGGGUGUCAUCUGUUCUUCCUGCUACCAGCCUGGGCCUGAGGCCAGCCCCUGCCUGCUGUCCUUACCAUUAACCACCUGACAUUCCAGCUGGUGGCUGGGACACUGGGCGAGGUAUAAAGAGGAAGAAAACCAAGGAGACCAAGCCAGGCAAAAGAGGGCCCUGUGUCACCAGUAGUUCCUGGACCACUCCCCACCCCUACCCCCCACUCUCCCUCCCUUAUCUCUCCUCUUUCUUUCCUUCUGUCUUUAUUCACUCCCUUUCUCUCACCUUCUUUCUCCUCUUCAUUUCCCACCUUGUCUUCCUGGGCCUGUGCUUUUGACAAUAUGACAGGCCAAUCUGCCUAAAAUGACAAGUAUUCCAAAGCCAGCCACCAUCUCCCAAAGGCUGCAAUAGCCUGGUUCUAGAAUUCGUUAUUGAGAGUCACAGUUUCUUUCCUUCUCAUUUUCCCUCAGUUGCUGCUGCGUGGACAUAGAACAUGGUAAAUAUUUAUUAUUUCAGAGAAAUCAGAUAUUUUAUAGAAGUAUGUUUUGGGUUAGCAGUUCCACUGAGGAAGGAGGGUCUCUUCUGGGAUGUAGGCCUCCCAUGAAGAUUCCUCAACCUGUGCUGCUGCUCUGAGGAUCUUCCUGCCCCAUCAAAGGAGAGAUCAGGAAUGGGUCUGGCAAAGGCAAAGUAACCGCUCAAGCUGCGUAUGUGGACUUAUGCAGGCAUCAGGCUUCCCCAGCACACUGCAUGCUCCUGCUGAGCAUCUGUAAAGGAACUGGCUCUAUCUAGCAGCCCAGGAAAUUUCCGGUAUGUUCAGUGUGAUGACUCCUCAGAGUUGUGUUGCACACCGUGCCCAAGGGAGCACUGUGUAUCCUGCUGCUCAAGUUCCUGAGCCUGGAGCAGGGCUGGGGAGCUCUUCCUCCCUCCCUCUAAUUCCAGAGUCUACACGGCCCUGGGCUUACAAGCUGGAUUGGUUCCCUUUUGAGAAACCAAAGCUGAGCUUAUGGUUGACUUAAACCUUCAGGUAUUGUUGCUUGAGUAAGUCAAGUGCCUCUGCCAGCCUGCCCUGUUCCUCUGCCUCUGGAUCCUCACUGGCAGCAGCUGUUACGCAUUGGAGCAGGUGGCUCUCAACUGCUUGUUAGUAAUCUGCAUGUAACACUGGAGCCUUUCCCCUGUGCAUGCUUUUGCUGGCACAGAGAAAUGUGCCCAGCGGUGGUGGCCAAAUGCCAUUGCAGCCUUUGGGUCGGGGCACAUUCAUGGCCUACUUAAACCAGAUUUACGCCCAGAGCCAGCACUGAAGGGGGUGAGGGCACGGGUUCUUUGCAGGGUGUAGACAGCAGCCUGUAUGUCCCAGAUUAUUAGGAAAGAGGCCAGGGAAGCUGAGCAGAGCAUCCUUCAAGGUAGCCUGUGCUCUUCAGCACAAUGGAAGAGAUGGGCUCUAGACCAACUGCAGCCAAGCUCAGGCUGGGACCAGGUGACUGUGAGGCCCCUCCAGUGUUUUGUUGGGAAAUGAGAGCUACACUUGGAAAUAUAAUCAAGAGAUUUCCAAUAAAAAGUUUUCUGUACUUCAUAGCUUCCUAUUCCAAAUGUCUUGACAACUAGUCCACCAGUCCCACCUCUGCAUCACUGAACCACCAUCGGCUUUCAUAAGGAGCGAAGGGUGGAGCGUGAAUUUCAGAAGAGUCCUGAGUCACAGGGCUGCUUCAGUCUUGGGACUUGAUCAAGUACCUAAGAGCCUUGGCUCUCUAGAGCCUUGUAUUAUUACCCAAGAAAGGGCUAUGUGAUUGAAUAUUCAGUGAAGAACUCUUAUUAAAUCUCCUUCAAGCGUGGGCUGCUGUUAGCAGCUUCUUAUCCCUUACAUAGCAUACUUACCACCCUACCUGCAGGACAUAGAAUACCUAGAGGGGAGGACAAGCCACAGAGGAUGCAACAUGGAUGGUGGCUGAUGUCAUGAACAGGGUUAUGGCUGAGCAAAUGAGGGAAGUGCAGGGAAGCGUGGCCUGUGCAAGUUUGUUCUGCUAACAAGAGUCCAGAAAGGACGGUGGACUCUCAGAGGAGUACCGAAGAACAGGAGAGCCCAGCAAUAAUUAAGUCUGAUGUACACACAUGCACCCCAGCUAUGGCUACACAUCUACCUCCUAGUGCACACUGCAGAGCCAAUGUAUUCUAUUUUUGUUUUGUUUUGUUUUUCCAAUGUAUAGAUAGUUCUGGAUGCAAAAGUCAACUAGGUACUUGUGUAGGCUCGUUCCCCUGCACCCGAGUCAAGUCUGGCCCAAGGACAACAGUGGGACCAUCAGAGGAUUCUAAGUCAGCCUAAGAAUAGAGUUGAAGAGAAUGGAGUCAGCCCACUUUGCCAGUAAAAGCCUGGGUGCCCUUGUAAAUGCAUCUGAUUCAGAGACCAUAACACUUGAGCACACAGCCAAACAGCACAGCUGUCCAAGCUGGGUCAGAAAUGGUAGUAGCAUCCUUGGAUACCUUUGGAGGCUCCAGGUAUUUCAUGACCAGCAAUGUGUCUGAUUCUUAAAACACCCUUUGCCUGAGAGACCUUGUUGUUAAGGUUUUGUUUACUAGUACCUGAGUAACUGCAGAGGCCCUGCCAGGAUCCCAACUCAAGUAAACAGCUCUCCCUGGCUCUGGUUCUGCUGUUUUCCUGGGUCACUGCCUCAAGCAGUUCCAGUGUCACCCAGCCUACAGCUGAGCAUUGCUAACAAGGAAUUAAGCCACCAAAGCCUUGUGUCUCAAGGCACCUGGAUCAAGGCCACAGUUGUGCAAUGGAACUUCCUUGAAGCUCGGGACCAGUGUUUACAAACACAUCUUAAUACUGCUGGAACCAGUGGCUCUGGCUAGGCAGCCUCUGCCCAAAACAGGAAAAGUUAACCCACCCUGGGCCAUCAUAACCUCCUGAUGGCAGUAGGCAGGUAUCUGGAACUUGCCCUUGACAACUGAAAUUUGGACCUCCUCCCAGUUGUAAAACAAUAAAAGUCAAAUGUGAUGGUUCGUGCUUAGAAUCACUACAUUCAAAAGAAUCACAACAGAGA